CUGGGUGUAGCUGACACAGGAGGACCAGUGUUCAUACCUGGGUGUAGCUGACACAGGAGGACCAGUGUUCAUACCUGGGUGUAGUCGACACAGGAGGACCAGUGUUCAUAUCUGGGUGCUGGCUGGGUGUAGCUGACACAGGAGGACCAGUGUUCAUACCUGGGUGUAGCUGACACAAGAGGACCAGUGUUCAUACCUGAGUGUAGUCAACACAGGAGGACCAGUGUUCAUACCUGGGUUCUGGCUGGGUGUAGUCGACACAGGAGGAGCAGGCUGGGUUGUGUUGACAUUCAACUGGUUAGAUAUCUGAGGCCCAGUCCCAGCCUUGCUCCGAACACCUUCCUCCUUCUCCUCCUCCUCCUCCUCACUCUCUCCUUCAGAAGAAGAGGAAGACUUCUCGUCUGAUGAACUGGCGAAGAUGGCCUUGAACAGAUCCAUAGACGGCCUGCUCUCCUCCUCCUCCUCCUCCUCGUCUUUCUGCUCCGUGUCUGGCUGCUCAGUUAGUCAGAAACAUCAUCGAUUAACAACAUGUGACUUACAAAACAUCUGUAUCUCUUACAUCUGUCAACCCUCUACGUUUUACAGUAGACCGUCGACCCUAUCCGGAUUACAGUAGACCGUCGACCCUCUACGGAUUACAGUAGACCGUCGACCCUCUACGGAUUACAGUAGACCGUCGACCCUCUACGGAUUACAGUAGACCGUCGACCCUCUACGGAUUUACAGUAGACCGUCGACCCUCUACGGAUUACAGUAGACCGUCGACCCUCUACGGAUUACAGUAGACCGUCGACCCUCUCCGGAUUACAGUAGACCGUCGACCCUCUCCGGAUUACAGUAGACCGUCGACCCUCUCCGGAUUACAGUGGACCGUCGACCCUAUCCGGAUUACAGUCGACCGUCGACCCUCUACGGAUUACAGUCGACCGUCGACCCUCUACGGAUUACAGUCGACCUUCGGCCCUCUACGGAUUACAGUCGACCGUCGACCCUCUACGGAUUACAGUCGACCGUCGGCCCUCUACGGAUUACAGUCGACCGUCGGCCCUCUACGGAUUACAGUCGACCGUCGGCCCUCUACGGAUUACCGUCGGCCCUCUACGGAUUACAGUCGACCGUCGGCCCUCUACGGAUUACAGUCGACCGUCGGCCCUCUACGG
ensembl:lncRNA